rnacentral:rRNA from 1 species
UCGAGGGGCAGCGGGAUUGAAGCUUGCUUCAAUUGCCGGCGACCGGCGCACGGGUGCGUAACGCGUAUGCAACCUACCCAGAACAGGGGGAUAACACUGAGAAAUUGGUACUAAUACCCCAUAAUAUAUUGGAAGGCAUCUUCCGAUGUUGAAAACUCCGGUGGUUUUGGAUGGGCAUGCGUUGUAUUAGCUAGUUGGUGAGGUAACGGCUCACCAAGGCGACGAUACAUAGGGGUUCUGAGAGGAAGGUCCCCACAUUGGAACUGAGACACGGUCCAAACUCC